AAAGCAGAUAAGACUAUUAACAUACAUUUAUGUUUUGAGCAAAGCUGUGAGAAUAAGUGGUUACAGUUCAUUUUCAAAUUUCAACUUGGGAUCCGCCGGCCACAUCAAGUUAAGUCUAGUCGACCUUUAUUGUCAUUCCUCUACGUGUGUUGACAUACAGAGGAACUAAAUGUCGUGUCUCGCAGGACUGUUCUACAUUUAUCAUAAAUACAAACACAACACGAGACAUAAGAGCAUUUUUUUUAUAUGCGUAACUAACAUACUAUAAUAUACUUAACUAUACAAACAAAACAGGCUAUACAAGUACUUUUGCUGAGACUGUAGAUGGGAUGGGUAGAGUCUUUCACAAUACUGCUAGCUUUGCUGCAGCACCAUGAGGAAAAUGUCCUGAAUAGACGAUAGAGGGGCACUGAUGAUCUUUUCAGCUGUGUUCACUGUGCGCUGGAGGGUCUUGUGGUCGGUAGCACUGGAGCUACCGUACCAAACAGAGAUGCAGCUGGCCAGCUUAAUAGUUCCCCUGUAGAAUGUGGUGAGGAUUAGUGGAGGGAGACUUGCCCUUUUCAGCUGGCAGACAAAGUGUAUGCGUUGUUGUGCUUGGAGAGGGACGUGGUGUUGGUAGUCCAGUCCUCUGUGAUGUGCCCCUCCAGGAAUUUAGUGCUGUAGACUCUCUUAACAGUCAAGCUGUUGAUGGUAAGUGCGGGGUGGUCAACAUAGUUUCACCUGAAGUCCAACAUAACCUCCUUUGUCUUCUCUACAUUGAGGGAGAGGUUGUUAGUGGCACACUUUUCAGCCAGCUGUGCCACUUCUUCCCGUGUAGUGCAUUUCAUUGUUGCUGAUGAAAAAUGCUUCCAGGUUGUUACCGGCUACAGCUUGCAAAGCGCGUCUUUUGUGUUUGCAUUUGGCGGGAUGUAAACCACAACAAUAACAAUGGCCGUGAACUCCCGUGGCACAUAAAACGGACAGCACUUAACGAGCAUUAACUCCACCAGUGAUGACCAGUGUUUUGUCGUGAAGGGUGUUCCUGCACAACUGGAGUGGCUGCACUGUCAGGACCGCAUUUUUAGGACCACAUCUUUAGGACCCUAGUUUUUUUUGACAGCGUCACCUGUCGAAUUGGAUCAUGGAUGUGCUAAUGGAUGACACGGAUGACAAGGAAAGUGCCAUCGUACAUGCUCUGGGUGUCUUGAGGAGCUUGUCUUUGGAUGAUGCUGAGCAGGUCUUUCUUUCUGGUAAAGAUUAUCAUUACAGUGAAGUAAAAGAAUUUAACAGACAAACAACUGACGAAAGAAGAGAGACCAUUCAAUAGGUGGGUAUUGCUCUUAUAUACUUAAAAAUAUGAAGUUGGGAGUAGGUGUCCUGUUUGGUUCUCCCAACAGUGCAUAAGCUUAAGCCAGAAAUUAUAUAUAUACUGUAUAUAACACUGUAAAGCAAAUGUUUGUUAUUUUACCUCUUAUAUUAAAUAUUGCAUAACAAUUGGUUAACCUUUGAGUUCAUAUACAUGAUUUUACAUAUUCAAGAAUAUAUAUAUAUUCAUUCAUUUUCUUUUCGGCUUAGUCCCUUUAUUUAUCAGGGGUUG